rnacentral:rRNA from 1 species
CUUGGUCAUUUAGAGGAAGUAAAAGUCGUAACAAGGUUUCCGUAGGUGAACCUGCGGAAGGAUCAUUCAUAAUAAGUGUUUUAUGGCACUUUUUAAAUCCAUAUCCACCUUGUGUGCAAUGUCAGUCGAUCUUCUUCAUGGAGAUCGACCAAACAUCAACCUUUAUCUUUUAACUCUUUGUCUGAAAAAUAUUAUGAAUAAACAAUUCAAAAUACAACUUUCAACAACGGAUCUCUUGGCUCUCGCAUCGAUGAAGAACGCAGCGAAAUGCGAUACGUAAUGUGAAUUGCAGAAUUCAGUGAAUCAUCGAAUCUUUGAACGCAUAUUGCGCUCUUUGGUAUUCCGAAGAGCAUGCUUGUUUGAGUAUCAGUAAACACCUCAAAGCUUUUGGAUUUUUUAAUCGAAAAGCUUUGGACUUGAGCAAUCCCAACACCAAUCUUUUUGAGAUCGGUGGCGGGUUGCUUGAAAUGCAGGUGCAGCUGGACAUUCUCCUGAGCUAAAAGCAUAUUCAUUUAGUCCCGUUAAACGGAUUAUUACUUUUGCUGCAGCUAACAUAAAGGGAGUUUGACCGUAUUGGCUGACUGAUGCAGGAUUUCACAAGGGUCGGCAACGYMKCUUGUUAAACUCGAUCUCAAAUCAAGUAAGACUACCCGCUGAACUUAAGCAUAUCAAUAAGCGGAGGA